GGGGAAUAUUGGACAAUGGGGGGAACCCUGAUCCAGCCAUGCCGCGUGUGUGAAGAAGGCCUUAUGGUUGUAAAGCACUUUAAGCGAGGAGGAGGCUACUGAGACUAAUACUCUUGGAUAGUGGACGUUACUCGCAGAAUAAGCACCGGCUAACUCUGUGCCAGCAGCCGCGGUAAUACAGAGGGUGCGAGCGUUAAUCGGAUUUACUGGGCGUAAAGCGUGCGUAGGCGGCUUUUUAAGUCGGAUGUGAAAUCCCCGAGCUUAACUUGGGAAUUGCAUUCGAUACUGGGAAGCUAGAGUAUGGGAGAGGAUGGUAGAAUUCCAGGUGUAGCGGUGAAAUGCGUAGAGAUCUGGAGGAAUACCGAUGGCGAAGGCAGCCAUCUGGCCUAAUACUGACGCUGAGGUACGAAAGCAUGGGGAGCAAACAGGAUUAGAUACCCUGGUAGUCCAUGCCGUAAACGAUGUYWACUAGCCGUUGGGGCCUUUGAGGCUUUAGUGGCGCAGCUAACGCGAUAAGUAGWCCGCCUGG
rnacentral:rRNA from 1 species